AUUAGCUCAACUUGUACAUAUUUUCAUUUUUAUUUAUAUUUAAUUGGUCAUUGAGUUGAAUGUGUGUCGCGGUUUAUUUUAUCAUUUUGUAUCAUUUUAUACUUAAAAUGGCAUUGUUGCAUAUUAUCCGAGUCAAAGUAACCGAAUUAUUUAUUCUGCAAAGGAAAGGGACAAACUGCAAUGUCAUGUCUCAGUUUUUAUUUUUAGACACAUUAUUACAGACUCGAGUGAUGUAUUUAUACGGUAACUUCUAUUUUUAGAUAAAAGUUUAACGAUGACCGGUUGCAGCUAGUUUCUUUUAAUCAUUAUUUACAGACUUGUGAUCAAUUUGGUUACAGACUUAUUGUGAUUUAGCUUAUUGUGACAAGCCGCCAAGCAAUGAUUAAUCGGGGAGUGCGAAAAUAAUAUAACUUUUGUAAUCUCUGUCCACACAAGUUUUUUACACGUCUCACAUUUCCUCACUUUUCAACAGCUAAGGUAUAUGUCAUCAUUGUACACAUAUUCAUAUGUGCAUACAUAUGCAUGUAUUAGUACAUAUAUGAGAACUCAAAAGCCAGGUACGAAUAGUUUGUGACAUUUAUCUUUUCAUGCUGCUACUCAUUUUUAUUGAGAGCUGCAGGAGUACAUGUGCAUAUGUAGUACAUAUUGUGUACGUACAACUGCAUAUUAAUAGUAAUACUGCAAUUUAUUUUUUGGCUACAAUUGUAAUGUCUGAAAUAAAUCUUUUACAACAAUGAAAGAAAGUUUAAAGUAAAGAGUGACCAGAUGAAAAGAUACUGAGAAAACGAUUUUAUUUUGUAUUGUCAACGUGUGAAAAUAAGUCUCUAUAAAAUCUAUAAAAUCUCUUCCCUAAUUUUAUGGGAAAAGAAAAUGAACCAUCAUUUUUUGAGAAAGCUUUAUAUUAGAAUUAAUUUAAUUCGCAAUAUUCAUAAAUUUAUAUCUACGUACGUACCACACAUGAGACACAAAUUGUUACGGGUUUAUCUUUCUCAAUGGAUUGAUCCCAGUUUCAAAUAGUUUAUAUUCUUCUAGCCUUUUGAUUCAGAAUGAGCAAUCUUUUUGUGUAUGCCACAAAACAACAAGAAGAUAUUGGUUUUGAUUUUUGUAUGCCUCCUUCAAGUUCAAAAUCAUGACUGAUCAUGGCUUUUGAGUAACAAGGAAUAGAAUAAUUUACAGGUUUAUAUCUUCAAUCAAAACGUAUGUAUAUUCCCACUGUCUGAUUAAUUUUAAUGAAAUGUACAUACAACUUGCACAUGUGAAUAAUUUUUUUUUCAUGACUCAGUCAAUAGCUAUUCUUGGUAAACUGGGUGACUGAAAGUAGUGAAUCGUGAUGAGUGGUAGAAAAAGCAGGUAAUUAAAAGUGAAGAUGGGGUUUGUCCGAUGAAACGGUGACUUUGCAGAAUUAUAUGGCAAAUGACAAAUACUCAAAACUUGAAAUGUACGUAAAUGAUAUUGUGAUGCGGUAUUCCUAUAUUUGGUGGUAGACAUUGAAGGCAUUAUUGAUUUGCAACACACGAAUAUUAUUUUAAUUUUAUCUAUUGAUUUUAAAGACAAUUAUAUUUUGCGAUUUAUCCAUUUCUAUUCCUCCAAUACACCUGAGAUUGACAAAAAAGGUCGUGGACCAAUUUAAUCAAGAUUUGCCCUAGAAUCGUUGUUGGUCAGCAAAUUCAACAAGAAGAUGGCUACUGAUGUGCUCCAAAUUUUCCUAACUUACCUCAUUUCACAUCUUUUUGUCAUACAUUUUACCCAUUUUUUUUAUAUUUUCUCUGCAAAAUUAGCCUUCCAUUUGUUUCUAGACUGAUCAGUGCGAAUUAAACAAUCCAUGUGUCAACAUAAUCUUAGAAGCAGUAUAGAACAGUUUUCUUAUUUUCAAAAUGUGCAUAAUUUCGAAAAUUUUGUUGCUUAUUGCAGUAUUUCUUGGGUUAAGUACAGUUUCUGGAGAACAUGUUUCAUCAACACCCCUGGUUUUUCCGAUUACGCCUCGUUUUGGAGCUUUGGAAAAAUGGAGUCAAACUUAUGAUAUCAGCAACAGUUUGUCAACUGCGAACGAAACCACCCCAAAAUUACCAAAUGUGGCCUCUUCCCAGCUCCGUCGUUCCAGAAAUGUGGCGAAUCGUGGUGGCCUUGGACUUAUCCUUGCAGCCUAUUUUAUUAAAGGAUGUUUAUAUUUGUAUGCAUAUUUCAAACUAAUUUGUAUCUGUAUGGGAGUGUCGCUUUUGUUCCUCCUCCUCUGCCCCCUCCUUCCAUUCCUCAUUCCAGCUCUGAUCCUCAUUCUUCUUGUGGCUGUUGGGCUAUCCAUUGCGAUCCCAUUAAUUGUCGCGGCCUCAGGUGGGGACGAAGACCUACUCCUAGUUUCAAACUAAUUUACGAACUUGAUCUGCUUAUUAACUUAUAAAUACACUUAUGUACAUAUUUAUUAUUUAUUAUUUAUUAUUUUUUAUUUUUAUUUACAAAUUACAAAUUUCUAUUUACAUAUUUUUAAUGAUGACAAUUAUUCAGUAUAAGACUAUAUAAGAAUAUGAGUAAACAACACAUAUAGGUUUGUUCAUUAUUUACAUUUCUUGUGACUCUAUUUUAAAUUAUUUAUGUAUGUACUUAUUAUAUGCAUGUAACCUCAUGAUUUUAGUGGUUAGUGUAGUUGCAGAGUUUAUGAAAAAUCUGCAAUUCUUGACGCAGAAAACUUUAGGAUUUACAUAUGUAGAUUGUUGUACACAUUGAUAUAUAUGUCCAUGUAUACAAAAAAUCUGUGGAGGAAGUAAUAAUUAAUAGAAUUGGACACAUUUAUCGAA